GACCUAACUGGAUUUUGUUACAAUAGAGGGUCUAUAUGACCCCUCCACCCUCUCUUCUCCUCAUUUCUCUUCUCUCAACUCUCUCCACCCCCUUGGUAGAAGAGAAGAAGAAGGAGAAGGAGAAGAAGGAAGGAAGAAGAAGAAGAUUGAGAGCUAUUAGAGGACUUGGAGCAUCUUCCUCACCCUCUCUUCUUCCUUGGUGCUUGAAGGCUUGGACUUGGAGCUUGCAAAGGAGAAGAUCUUCACCCUUUGAGCUUGGAUUGGAGCUUCUUAGAGGUUGGUAGC
rnacentral:lncRNA from 1 species